rnacentral:lncRNA from 1 species
GUGUUGAAAUAUUUAAAUAUAAGCUGCAUUGAGGAGGGAAUAAGAGAAUUAUUACAUAAGAUUCACUGAGACUGAUGAAAAUCAUUGCAAUACAACUGGAAUAGAAUUGCACCCAGCCAAAUACAGUUGGAUAUUAUUUGUGCCUUUUAUUGAGCGUUACGUAUUGGACCACACAGGUAUUUGUGAAGGUAAUUACAUUAAACGUUAUGCAUAUUAAUCUCAUUCAGCUCCUUCUUCUCUAUUGCACCAACGAUCGAAUAACUUUACAGCUGCCUGACAAGGCAAUGCACAGACCAUAAUCAUAAUUUAUCAAAUUUUACUAGUAUUAAACCAUCGCAAAUAUAAGGUUUUCAUUUACUAGAAACAAUGAUACAGCUCGGACGUGUCAGAAAGAAUUAAUGCAACCACCGGAUGAAGGAGCGAUUAAUCAUGAUCAAUCGAUAAAAAAAAAUCGAUAGAUAUCAUAUCAUAUAGCAUAUAACUUAUUCCUCUCGAUCGUUUGAGUUGUGCAGUGUCUUGUCCUACCGUGGCGUUCUCAUUUGUUGAUUUUGCUUUGGACACUUCGGUAUCGGGGAUUCGUGACGCAAGCGACGCCGCCCACGUCCGCCCGCCACUCUAUCUAGUCCCGUUCCCCACUCCGCUCCAGCAGAGCAGGAGAAGCCCGGCGUCCUCGCACCCUUCCCGCUUCGAGCCGGGGACCGGCACGUCGUCGCCAUGAAAGUCGCGCUUCUGAUCGCCUCGGCACUGGCGCUCCUCGCAGACAACCACUCGCUUCCAGCUGGGAAUUUGGACAGAAGGCAGGAAAUACUUACGAGAUGUUUGGUACAAGUCCUUUCUAAGGUUCUUUCCAAACCUGAAGACAACUCACUGCGCCCGGAAUGUAAGGAAAUUCUGAAAGCAGGCUCAGAUCCUGCUGCGCCUGUGAAAAAAAGUGAGGAAGAGGUGUUACCACCUGAGGGCAAUGAGUCCAGGAAGGAGCCUGGUGAUGAGGCCAUUGAACAUCUCCUCAAGAAAAAUGAAGAGUCAGAUGACGAACGGAGUCAGGAAGCCUUUCCAACCUAUGCAAAGAAAUGGCACUCCAUGGGCAAUUACAAGCGUGAGGAUCCAGAUGAAGAACGAAGCCAGGAGGCUUUUCCAACCUAUGCAAAGAAAUGGCACUCCAUGGGCAAUUACAAGCGUGAGGAUCCAGAUGAAGAGCGAAGUCAGGAGGCUUUUCCAACCUAUGCAAAGAAAUGGCACUCCAUGGGCAAUUACAAGCGUGAGGAUCCAGAUGAAGAGCGAAGUCAGGAGGCUUUUCCAACCUAUGCAAAGAAAUGGCACUCCAUGGGCAAUUACAAGCGUGAGGAUCCAGAUGAAGAACGAAGCCAGGAGGCUUUUCCGGGAUUCGAGAAGAGGAGGCACCUUCUGACAAGCAAGGAAAAGCGCGAGGAAGCGGACGAUGAGCGUAGCCAGGAAUUGUUUCCUGACUACAAGAAGAAGAGGCACUUCCUCUUGAGAAAUGAUGAGAAGCGAGAAGAUCCAGAUGAAGAAAGAAGCCAAGAGACUUUCCCUGAAUUUGCGGUCAAAAGGCACCAUGAAGAUGCUGAAGAAGAGGAGAAAAGGAGGAGCCAUGAGCUCCAGCACAACGCAGAGGAGAGCGAGGAGAGGGAGAAGAGGAUUUGGAGGCCAACACACAGAUACCAUCAUAAGAAACACCACAAGCGCAGUGGUGACUCACUGGAUGGGGAGUCUGAAGAGGUGAACUCACAUGAGAGAAGGUCUGAAGAAUCUGAGGAGGAGGACGAGGAAAGUAGAGAGAAGCGCAUCUGGAAACCCACACAUAGAUACCACCAUAAGAAGCACAGGCGUGAUGGUGACUCCUCUGAUGAAUCUUCUCCUGAGGAGCUGGAAGACAGCGAGGAGAGGGAGAAGAGGAUUUGGAAGCCCACUCACAGAUACCACCACAAGAAACACAGGAGGAAUGAGGAACCUUAUGAGGAAGAGGAACCAGAAUCAUGGAGAUCUGCUGAAUCUGAGGAAAACGAGGAGAUAGAGAAGAGGAUUUGGAAGCCCUCACACAGGUACCACCACAAGAAGCACCACAAGCGCAGCGAAGAACUCUCCCUUGAGGACGACGAGGAGCCUGGAAACAUUGAAAAGAAGCACCACAGCCCCACUGAGGAGCAGGAAGAGGCUUUGAGGUAUCUGACCAAGAAAAGCAGCCAGAUGGGGGAUCGACUUCUGGGAGAAGAGGAAGCAUAUGAGAAGCGCUCUCCGUGGAUUUACAGGGGAUAUUACCACCCCGCCUGGUACAAGAGGAGCGCGCCGGGAGACGAGUUCACCAGAUUUCUCAAUUACAAGAGAGCGCAGCUCUCCCACCUGGCAUCCCCGGAAGAGGAGAAGAGGUCCCUCCACCAGAGACCACUGACCCCAGCAGAGGAAAAGGAGCUGGCUAAUCUGGCAGUCAUGGACCUGGAGCUACAGCAGCUUGCCGAAAAAAUCCACAAGGACCAGAACGACGAAUGAUCAAUAAACCCGAGGUGUUUUAAUUUAAGGCGUUCCCA